UUCUUUGGUUAUCUAGCUGUAUGAGUUUUAUUGGACAUCAUAAAGCUAGGUUACCGGAGUU
rnacentral:pre_miRNA from 1 species